AUCUAGCUGACAAAUCCCAAAUAGGACGAAACACGCAUCCUGGAU
rnacentral:hammerhead_ribozyme from 1 species